rnacentral:rRNA from 1 species
UACGUAGGUGGCGAGCGUUGUCCGGAUUUACUGGGCGUAAAGAGCGCGCAGGCGGUCGUUCAAGUCGCGUGUGAAAGCCCCCGGCUCAACUGGGGAGGGUCACGCGAUACUGAUCGACUCGAAGGCAGGAGAGGGUAGUGGAAUUCCCGGUGUAGUGGUGAAAUGCGUAGAUAUCGAGAGGAACACCAGUGGCGAAGGCGAGUCCCUGGACAACUCCUGACGCUGAGGCACGAAAGCUAGGGGAGCAAACAGG